GACGAACGCUGGCGGCGUGCCUAAUACAUGCAAGUCGAGCGGACUGAUUAAGAGCUUGCCCUUAUGACGUUAGCGGCGGACGGGUGAGUAACACGUGGGCAACCUGCCCUGUAGAUCGGGAUAACACCGAGAAAUCGGUGCUAAUACCGGGUAAUAUCUGAGAUCACAUGAUCUUAGGUUAAAAGAUGGCUCCGGCUAUCACUACAGGAUGGGCCCGCGGCGCAUUAGCUAGUUGGUAAGGUAAUGGCUUACCAAGGCGACGAUGCGUAGCCGACCUGAGAGGGUGAUCGGCCACACUGGGACAGAGACACGGCCCAGACUCCGACGGGAGGAAGCAGUAGGGAAUCUUCCGCAAUGGACGAAAGUCUGACGGAGCAACGCCGCGGGAGUGAUGAAGGGGUUCGGCUCGUAAAGCUCUGUUGUUAGGGAAGAAACAGUACCGAACGAACUAGGUCGGUAUCUUGACGGUACCUAAACAGAAAGCCACGGCUAACUACGUG
rnacentral:rRNA from 1 species